AACGAACGCUGGCGGCAUGCCUAACACAUGCAAGUCGAACGAGACCUUCGGGUCUAGUGGCGCACGGGUGCGUAACGCGUGGGAACCUGCCCUUAGGCUUGGCCUAACCCCCCGAAAGGGUUGCUAAUACCGGAUCAUGUCCUCGGACCAAAGACUUAUCGCCUUUGGAUGGGCGCGCGUUGGCUUAGCUAGUUGGUAGGGUAACAGCCUAUCAACGCGACGAUCCAUAGCUGGUCUGGGAGGAUGGUCAGCCACACUGGGACUGAGACACGGGCCAGACUCGGGCGGGAGGAAGCAGUAGGAAGUAUUGGACGACGGGCGAAAGACGGAGCAAGCCCUGCCGCGUGAGGGAUGAAGGCGGUAGGGAAGUAGAUCUCUUUUACCCGGGAGGGUGAUGACAGGAACGGGAGAAUAAGCCCCGGCUAACUCCGUG
rnacentral:rRNA from 1 species